CUACGGGAGGCUCCAGUGAGGAAUAUUGCACAAUGGGGGGAACCCUGAUGCAGCGACGCCGCGUGGAGGAUGACGCAUUUCGGUGUGUAAACUCCUUUUAUAUGUCAAGAAAAUGACGGUAGCAUAUGAAUAAGCACCGGCUAACCCCGUGCCAGCAGCCGCGGUAAUACGGAGGGUGCAAGCGUUACUCGGAAUCACUGGGCGUAAAGGACGCGUAGGCGGGUUGGAAAGUCAGGUGUGAAAUCCUACAGCUUAACUGUAGAACUGCACUUGAAACUUCUAAUCUAGAGUAUGGGAGGGGGGGAUGGAAUUAGUGGUGUAGGGGUAAAAUCCGUAGAUAUCACUAGGAAUACCUAAAGCGAAGGCGAUCUCCUGGAACAUUACUGACGCUAAGGCGUGAAAGCGUGGGGAGCAAACAGGAUUAGAUACCCGCGUAGUC
rnacentral:rRNA from 1 species